rnacentral:rRNA from 1 species
UUUUGCGCAAUGGGGGAAACCCUGACGCAGCAACGCCGCGUGAGUGAUGAAGGCUUUCGGGUCGUAAAGCUCUGUCAAGUGGGAAGAACCCAUAUAAUGUUAAUACCAUUAUAUGCUGACGGUACCACUGAAGGAAGCACCGGCUAACUCCGUGCCAGCAGCCGCGGUAAUACGGGGGGUGCAAGCGUUAUUCGGAAUCAUUGGGCGUAAAGAGCACGUAGGCGGCCUGGUAAGUCAGAUGUGAAAGCCCGGGGCUUAACCCCGGAAGUGCAUUUGAUACUGCCAGGCUUGAGUAUGGGAGAGGGAAGUGGAAUUCCUGGUGUAGAGGUGAAAUUCGUAGAUAUCAGGAGGAACACCGGUGGCGAAGGCGACUUCCUGGACCAAUACUGACGCUGAGGUGCGAAGGCGUGGGUAGCAAACAGGAUUAGAUACCCUGGUAGUCCACGCAGUAAACGUUGAUCACUAGGUGUAGCGGGUAUUGACCCCUGCUGUGCCGCAGUUAACGCAUUAAGUGAUCCGCCUGGGGAGUACGGUCGCAAGAUUAAAA